rnacentral:rRNA from 1 species
GUGGGGAAUCUUGCGCAAUGGGCGAAAGCCUGACGCAGCCAUGCCGCGUGGAUGAUGAAGGUCUUAGGAUUGUAAAAUCCUUUCACCGGUGAAGAUAAUGACUGUAGCCGGAGAAGAAGCCCCGACUAACUUCGUGCCAGCAGUCGCGGUAAUACGAAGGGGGCUAGCGUUGCUCGGAAUUACUGGGCGUAAAGGGAGCGUAGGCGGACAUUUAAGUCAGGGGUGAAAUCCCGAGGCUCAACCUCGGAACUGCCUUUGAUACUGGGUGUCUUGAGUGUGAGAGAGGUGAGUGGAACUCCGAGUGUAGAGGUGAAAUUCGUAGAUAUUCGGAAGAACACCAGUGGCGAAGGCGACUCACUGGCUCAUUACUGACGCUGAGGCUCGAAAGCGUGGGGAGCAAACAGGAUUAGAAACCCGGGUAGUCC